GGAUGAGGGCCUCAGGUCGUAACCUGCUUCUACAGAAGAAACCCGAUUUAUUCUGGCUGACGGUAUCUAGAUAGCACCGGCUACUCGUGCAGCAGCCGCGGUAAUACGAGGGUGCAAGCGUUAUCCGGAUUCACUGGGUUUAAAGGGUGCGUAGGCGGAUCGGUAUAGUCAGAGGUGAAAGCCCCGAGCUCAACUCGGGAAUUGCCUUUGAUACUGUCGAUCUUGAGUAUAGUUGAAGUUGGCGGAAUGAGCGGUGUAGCGGUGAAAUGCAUAGAUAUCGCUCAGAACACGCGGGAUUGCGAAGGCAGCUAACUAAACUAUCACUGACGCUGAGGCACGAAAGCGUGGGUAGCAAACAGGAUUAGAUACCCUGGUAGUCCACGCCCUAAACGAUGCUCACUCGACAUUGGCGAUACACUGUCAGUGUCUAUAGGGAAA
rnacentral:rRNA from 1 species